CACAUUCCACUUAUUUGAAAUUUUAUAAUGCGUGAUACGAAUCACACUUAAAACAUGAUUCAAAUCAUAAAACCAAAAAUCACACAUUUUUUAAUCGUUUCAGUGUUCCUUUUCCUUUUCCUCUUCCACUCAUUUCUUUUCAUUUCAAAUCACUUUCAAAACUUCCUAUCUCAUUUUUAAACCCCAUUUUCGAAAAUCUCAUCUCACUCAUUCAUUAUCAAUCAUUAUCUCACUUCAUUUGGU
rnacentral:lncRNA from 1 species